UGGGGUGGUGGCGCAGUUGGCUAGCGCGUAGGUCUCAUAAUCCUGAGGUCGAGAGUUCGAGCCUCUCUCACCCAA
rnacentral:tRNA from 1 species